GAUCGUCGCACGUCCCACCCACCCACCCACACCGGCGACGAUGCCGCAGCAGCAGCCGCAGCCGGCGACCGGCUCGCGCCUCUUGGACACCGUCCCUCUCUUCGUCGUCGUCCUCCUCGCCGCCCACGUCCUAGCCCUCGUGUACUGGAUGUACAGGUUAGCCUCGGAGAAGCAGCCGCCGCGGCGGAAGACGCAGUAGCCACCACGUCCCCCCCGGUGAAUUUUUGUGUGCUCGCCUCCGUCGUCGAUCAAAUCGCGAGAUGUUAUCCUCUGGAAAGAUUAGGUUCCCUGUAGGGUAGAAAGUCUGUGGUUCCGUUUGUUUUAUGGUGCCAGUGGAGAAUUUGGUGUAACAGUAAUCAUGCACGUGAGAGUAGACAUGGAUUUUUAUUAAUAAACAUAUCCUGAAAUUGCACAUGUUU